rnacentral:lncRNA from 12 species
AAUAUGAAUCACUCAGUACUAAUGUGUGAUCUGCUGAAAGUGGUCAUCUUCAGGCGAUAAUAUUUGCUCCUGGGGUUGUACUUAUCUGUUUUCUAAGCAGUCAAGCAAACAUGGAACAUUCCUGAUGCAUAGUACAACAUCUAAAAACAAAGAGCCAAGAUACUUGACUCCAUCUAUGUGUACUCCUUCCCUACAAGAAUACACUCCCUUCUCCAGUGGAGACAACACAAAGUCUUCCCCAGUUACUGCAUUAAGCUCAAAGUCUAGGACUCUGGGUGAUGCACAGUUCUCUCUGUCAGGUAAGUUGGUAUUCCCCAUAGUUUGGUGUCCUAGAACAAAGAAAAAUUCUGCCUCCAACAAACUUGAAAUACCAUGGCAGAAAAGGGACUGCAUAGUCACAACAAAACCUUCCUUUUGGAAAUUGGAAGAAUAG